CAGCAGCCACGGGAAUACGAGGGGGGCAAGCGUUGUUCGGAAUUAUUGGGCGUAAAGGGUGCGUAGGCGGUUUGACAAGUCUUAUGUGAAAUCUCUGGGCUCAACCCAGAGUCUGCAUGGGAAACUGUCGGGCUUGAGUAUGGGAGAGGUGAGUGGAAUUUCCGGUGUAGCGGUGAAAUGCGUAGAUAUCGGAAGGAACACCAGUGGCGAAGGCGACUCUCUGGUCUGUAACUGACGCUGAGGAGCGAAAGCGUGGGGAGCGAACAGGAUUAGAUACCCGUGUAGUCCCUGUCUCUUAUAC
rnacentral:rRNA from 1 species